GAAAAGGUUUAUUCUUUCUAUUCAUUAACAGGUUUUGACGUCAGGAUCGCACCGACUGUGGACCUCAACGACUUUGAAGACAAGAUAAAGAAUUGGUGUGCUGAGGCAGGGGACGAUGUUACAUAUGAGUUUCUCCAGAAAUGCAUGAUACAAGAAACUACACCAGUAGAUAAAUCUCAACCCUGGUGGAAAACGUUCAGCUCUGUCUGCGAGAACAUGGGUCUGAAACUAGAAACAGAGAUAUUCCCGGCAGCUACAGACAGCAGGUUUCUCAGAGAGGUAGGUUAAGU